rnacentral:rRNA from 1 species
UACGUAGGGAGCAAGCGUUGUCCGGAAUCAUUGGGCGUAAAGCGCGCGUAGGCGGCCCUGUAAGUCCGCUGUGAAAGUCAAAGGCUCAACCUUUGAAAGCCGGUGGAUACUGCAGGGCUAGAGUCCGGAAGAGGCGAGUGGAAUUCCUGGUGUAGCGGUGAAAUGCGCAGAUAUCAGGAGGAACACCGGUGGCGAAGGCGGUUCUCUGGGCCUUACCUGACACUGAGGAGCGAAAGCGUGGGGAGCGAACAGG